rnacentral:misc_RNA from 1 species
GAUGAAGAACGCAGCGAAAUGCGAUAAGUAAUGUGAAUUGCAGAAUUCAGUGAAUCAUCGAAUCUUUGAACGCACCUUGCACCCUUUGGCUAUUCCGAAGGGUAUGCCUGUUUGAGUAUCAUGAACACCUCAACUCUCAUGGUUUGCCAUGAUGAGCUUGGACUUUGGGGGUCUUGCUGGCCUGUGGUCAGCUCCUCUCAAAUGGAUUAGCUUGCCAGUGUUUGGUGGCAUCACAGGUGUGAUAACUAUCUACGCUUGUGGUUUUCCACCAGGUAACCUUCAGCAAUGGGGGAUCCCUGGGGCUCAUAAAUGUCUCUCCUCAGUGAGGACAGCUCUUUGAACGUUUGAUCUCAAAUCAGGUAGGACUACCCGCUGAACUUAAGCAUAUCAUAAGCGGAGGA